rnacentral:lncRNA from 1 species
GGAGGUCACAUGGGCAGCUCCAGAGUAGAUCAGAGGAAUCCAGCAGCUGUUUUGGUACGAGACAGAAAAAGGAAAGGUAUUUUAUAUCCCUGACAGUGUUUGAACUGCACUGGUCACUCCAGCUGUAUCAGACUCUGCUGUGCUACAGGUCGUGCCCCAGCUGCGAAAACACUCUUCUCCUUCUUGGUGCUUCCCAAACAGACACAGAGGAAGCUGGCCCAAGAAAGUCCUUCAUGCCUUUCCACGCUGCUGGUAUCCCUGGGAAGCAGCAGAUAACUUGCUCUGAACUCGGGACCAGCGGGCAGCAUGGUUUCCCUCUCGAUGUCUUUUGGAGUCAUGCAGAGCAGUUUCUACGUUGUACUGGAUGUAAUAAAAUCAGAAGCAGUGCGUAGCCUCUGGCUCCUCGUCUCGCACCAGGAAGAACCGGCGGCCAGUCCCCGAGCCCCCGUGGUGACAAUGUGGCAUCCCUGGAAAAGUGUGCCCAGAUUUUCUGGGAAACUUGUCACAGUUUUAUUUUCCAGUGAUCUCCUCUUCUCUCUCAAGCUUCCAGCCAUAAUAUCCCAGAGUUGGGCUGAAAGAGGGAGCGCAGCACCUGUCUAGGUAUUGGGGAUAGAAAAAAUUGGAGAGAAAAUUACAAACCCUUGUGCUCUGUGGGGGUCUCUCCAUCUCCUUUCCUGUCCUUCACCUUGUCUAACAGAGGUCCCUCCCUCCCACCCAGGUGUGACCUACCUGUAUCAGCUAGGGCUCCUGGUGUGAGCCUCCAUGCCUCACAGUGAUUUGCAAUGGCUUCAAGCUGUAUAAAUAAAAACUGGUAUUAGUUUGUUUUCUAGUCCCCC